CGCACGACACUGCUUCAGAGUCGACACUUGAGUCGAGGUGCAGGUAAAAUGUCAUCCCAAACGACUUUUAGUAUUCCAUCAAGUGGCGGACUAAAUGCAUCAAAAAGAAUAAUUAUGUAAGAAUAAGACAAAAGUCGAACGAAACAUUUUCUCAUAUUAACUUAUUUCGGUUCGGCUCGCGGACACUUUUUCUCACAACAUUUGUAGAACUCAAAUGGAUAAAAGUUGGUUUAUUGGAAUGUACAUAAACACUCACGAACUUGCAAUUUACCCAGAAACAAUGCGGUGAAGAUAACAAAAAAAAAUAUUCGAGAAAGAAACGUCAGGCGCGUAGAAAAUGUAUUUCACUUUUGGAGCAAUUCCGCAGACCAACACUAAUGUGUCUCCAGUGAGCAAGACAUGACGUCAGUUUCGCAUCGCGUGACCCAUAUUAUGAAUAAUCCACGAGUAGGCGGUACACACCAAAUACUUUGAAUACAAGAAGCGGAGGCAGGGUGGGGGUCCCCACACCCACCCACGAGGAGCAUCAGAAAAGGAAAGCAUGUGCCACUUGAUGCGCACCCAGCCUUGGCCGCCGCCAAUCGGGGGCGAGCACACUCGUACGUCGCCGCCGCCCGACUGCGCGGCUCGGGCGCUCGGGACGCGCCUGCGGCUGAUCGGGGACCAGCUGGACAGGCGUCGCAGGGAGAUGGCCGGCGAAGACAACGGAGGCUUGACGUACGCGUGCACAGUCGCGCGCGUAGGCGUGUGCGCGCUGCUGCUGUUGCUCUUCACUAGACGACACUUAUAGCAAGGCAACUCGCGACCGCAGACAAAAGACAAGGAUGACGAGCGUGUAACUCAACCAGUCCGAGGCACCGGAGGAGAGGCUACGUGAUGAGGAAUGAAUACGCCUUGCGCCUCUUCUUUCUCCUCUGCCACAUGCAGUGAUGUCAUCUUCCCUGCUGAUUCAUGGCAAUGAGAAGGGGGGGGGUGUUGAGAAGCAGUGUCAAUUGUGUGUAUAGACGGACGGAAGCUGUUGAACCAAGUUUCAUCCAGAUUGCACAUUUGGCUGUCAUGUAAACGGCGAGCGUGUGAAACCAGUUCCGAGUCGUGGAAAGGUUCCAGCCUCGGGGCCAAAGACUGCGGGCUCUCUCGAUAACGCAUUGGACGGAUGAAGUAUGGCGAUGUAAUAUGAAGACGACAACUUAUUUGUAAUAUUGAAAUGUAUUCUGGUAGAGUUACGGUUUUUUCAUUGAUUUUUUUUUUUUACUGUUGGAUUUUAAUUUCAUCCUUACAAUCGAAUGAAUACCUUUAGCAGCUUUAACCCUCCGUGUCAUCUCACAUCUUCAGCCUCAUUAUAAAAGAUGUUGCAUCACACUUCAACAAAGACAAAGUAGGAAUUUGACCAGAAUUAAGUGAUGUUAAAAGUAAAGCGGGAAAAAUUCAGAUUAAAAGUAAAAAGAUUAGAUUUUACUGGAAAAGGUGCCGGAUGGUAAUAGAAAAAAAAA